rnacentral:rRNA from 1 species
ACUCCUACGGGAGGCAGCAGUGGGAAUAUUGCACAAUGGGCGACAGCCUGAUGCAGCAACGCCGCGUGAAGGAUGAAGGGUUUCGGCUCGUAAACUUCUAUCAACAGGGACGAAAAAUGACGGUACCUGAAUAAGAAGCCCGGCUAACUACGUGCCAGCAGCCGCGGUAAUACGGAGGGUGCAAGCGUUAAUCGGAAUUACUGGGCGUAAAGCGUGCGCAGGCGGUCUGUUAAGCGAGAUGUGAAAGCCCCGGGCUCAACCUGGGAACUGCAUUUCGAACUGGCAGACUAGAGUCUUGUAGA